CUGCACUUCCUGCACCUAUGGCAGCUUCGCCCUUGUUCCACGGAUACAAACUGCAGCUGUCCUGGUGCUAUCAUAUUUUUUAUUUAUUUGUUUUACACUAUUUUCACUUUCAUUUUUAAGGAGUAAAGUUCUUUGGAGCUACCACUCCCCUUAGUAUCCCAUACAAGUAUACUGCCAGCUCUCAUGGAUGCAACUCGGAGGUCUCACACUGGGACAUGGCUGCUGUUUAUGUUAAUGCUGGUAGCACCCCUUCAGGAUGUUGAGUGUCUGGAACCUGUCAGUCUGACCAUAGCUGCUGCCUCUGCUGUUGCCCUGACCAGCUACGCGUCCCAUCGUCUGUACUGCAGACUGACCCAGAGAUGCGAUGAGGAGAAGCCGUUCAGCACCGCAGCGGGUCUGAACUGCGCAGGCCCCGCCAGCGACGGGGAGCACCGGACUGCGAUGGGGUGGACGAUGAAAGCGAUCGCACCGGCGAUGGAAAGAAGAUUGGCAGGAGGAGGCCGUUUGUGGGUGUCAACUGACCGUUUCCAGGGAGUGUCCGUGAAAACGCAGGCGUGUCAAGGCGUUUUGAAGGGAGGGUUCCUGACGUCAGCUCUCUGCACAAGCGAUCGCACCCCUGCACAGCGACUACCCCCUCCCCCUGUAGGUGGUGACUAUCUGAUCGCAGGGAUGUAAGAACCACACCCUAGUGAUCAGGUUUGAAUUAGGCCCCUUGUUCUAACAGACAUGUAUAAUGCUUCAUUUACAUCAUGCCCGCUGGACUUUGAUCAGGAUACAGUAGAUAACAGCGGCACACGGAAUAAACUACAGACACAGGAAUUGCUUCAAUAACCAACA